AUAUAAGCACAAGUGUCAGAACACACUGUGCCUGGACCACCCCCCUGACCUGGCACAUACUGUCAGCUGUCUGAGAGUCACCCUGACUAUGCCUCCCUAGUCCUUCAAGAGAUGCUUGUAAUGUAUACAAUUGUUGAAUUACUAUGUUGUGCACCUGAACAUUAUAUAGAGAGAGAGCACAAGUAGGGGGAGUGGCAGGCAGAGGGAGAGGCAGAAAGAGAAGCAGCCUCCCCGCUGAGCGAGAACCCUGAUGCAGCACUCGAUUUCAAGACCCUAGGAUCGAGUCCCACUAGGAUCAUGACCUGAGACAAAGGGCUCAAUAAUGAAUUGCCUUUGACUUUUGCUAAAAAGUAUGAAAUUGACUUUCUCCACCCUGGAAAUUCCUUGUCCCCUUCUUCUCCCCGGAGCCUCUUUGAGUAAAUCCACCUUUGCCAAUCAUCAAUCUUCCUCAUCCAGGCUCUUGGCCAGCAUCACGCCGGGUCACAGUCAGAUUAUUCUGUCCUGGAGAUACGGUGUUUCCUCCGUUGAAGGUUUAGCUCCAGCCCAAGCUGCUUUCUUUCUGCUUUCCUUCCUGCAAACCCAGGACUCUUCACGUUCUUCUCUGGUUACGUAAUUGCAAUUUUCACAAUUUGCACAGGCUUCCUCCUAAAGGUUCAUCAUCGUGUAGUACCUUCAAGCAAACCUAACUUCUGUUAGUUCAAACGGGCAUUAAAGCUGUAACGGAAAUAUCAUGCACCUGAGACUGCAGCAGGCACCCCAUUUCGGGGUGAGCCACAGAAAAACCUGUUGCAUCAACAAACAAAACGCUUGGCGAGGAACUAAAAUUUUCUUACCACGCUCCUGACAUUUCAGUAAGCCUUGCCCAACACACCCUCCCACCCUCCGUGUGGAGUCUGAGAGCUGCAGAAAUUGCGAGGCAACCAGAGGAGUGUUUGCUUACUUCCCUCUCUGUCAAGGAGCCUAGGAGAGGGGUGCUGAAGCGUGCCUGGAUCACUUACGAUAAAAAAAAAAAGAAAAGAAAAAAAGAAAACCAGCCGAAGUUGGAUUGGAAAGGUGCAGAGGAGGAGGAAAGCCUAGGAGGUUCUCUGUUAACACUAGAGAGAGAAAAGAAUGAAAGGCAGAGAGAAGAAAGGAAGAACAGUCAGAUGGUUAUCAGUGCCAAGGUGUCUCACUGCAGAUCAAGAGAACCUACAGUUUUUACACCAAAAGAAAGCCAGUGGCCGGAGGCCAACUUCUCUGAAGUCCUGUCAGGAGGUGGCACACAGUGUCCCAUCUGAAAAAGUGACUUCAAACGUCUCUGCAUGAUCCUGCAGACAUGGGUCAUGGGUCACGCAGGUUUUUGAUGUGGCAAUUUAAAAGACGGAAUAUGAAAGAGGAGAAUGAUGUCACCUUUAAACAGCUCCUAACCCCUAUUCACACACCACUUCCUUUACUUCUUCUUUAAAAAAAAAAAAAAAAAAAAAAGAUUGUAUUUAUUUAUUUAUUUGAGAGAGAGUGUGUAGGAGCAGGGGCAGAGGGAGAGGGAGAAGGAGACUCCUCACUGAGCAGGGAGCCCAGACAGACGGACAGACAAAUGUGGGCCUCGAUCCCAGGACCCCAGGAUUAUGACCUGAGCCAAAAGUAGAUGCUUAACCAACUAAGCCACCCAGGUACCUCGCAGCACUUCCAGUCCUUAAGGCCACGCUGGAUGACGGGCCAGUUGUGCAGUAACUUACGUGGGCACCGUUGCUGGGAAAGAACACUCACGUGCCCAGGACCUGGCUGCACCUGCCUAAACCUGACAGGAGACAAAGCCCAAGGGUCUGUGAUCCCAAGGAGGCUCUGAUAUUUGGAUUCUGGGGCUCCCUACAGAAGUGGCCAGUGUGCAUCCCACCACCGCAUAGAUUUGUCAAGACCUCAUAACAGCAAUCCUGUAGGAGUAGCCUCGACUUCUGGGCUUUGUGAAACAUCUGAAGCCAACCAGCUCGGCUGACACCUCACCCCAGCCACCCCAUGUGGUGGGCUGGCCGAAGCACGGAAUUACCCAAAGAAAAUCUGGAAGUGAGUGGGACCACUCGUGUGAGCGGUCACUCAGCCUCUCGCCAAAAUGAGGAGCAAGGAAAUGUCUCUGCACCCACAUUCAGGAGCUGGCAAGCUUCUUAAUCAGCCGACACCAGAGCAUAAUCAUCAACUCUUGGGGAUCCCUCAAGAAGGCUGUGUGCAGGGGCGCCUGGGUGGCUCAGAGGUUGAGCAUCUGCCUUCAGCUCAGGUCGUGAUCCCCAAGUCCUGGGAUCGGGUCCCGCAUCAGACUCCCCAUGGGGAGCCUGCUUCUCCCUCUGCCUGUGU